rnacentral:misc_RNA from 1 species
UGUGGCAACACCCAUAGAGUUGAGGUAUUUCUGCUAUCUAGAUCAUUGUUGUACAUUUAUCUUUGUCAUUGAUAAUAAAGUUUUUAUUUUUUUGUGCUCUCAUUGUUUUCAAUUUUCCAUUUACAAGAUCAUGUAAUCUUCUGGGAAAUAUGAAGUAUAUGAUGCUGUCAUGGGUUUAUUUUCUUUCACAUUUUUCCAAUUUGUUAUGAUUUUAUACUUAGAUAUUCAACCAUCUUGAGUAAUACCUGUUGCCUGUUUCUUCCAAUGGACAAAGGAGGUUUAAUGUUCAUUGUAUGAAUAUGAUGAUAAAUUGAUUCUUUAUUUUCCUAUACACAAGCAUCUUAGCACCUCACACACCCAAAUUCAUUUUUUUAUACUGAUUUUAAUCGAUUAUUGCUUUCAAGUCUUGUUGUACCCUUCUUGCGCAUUGGUGAAGUUAUCUCUGGUGGAACUCAUUUUCCUUUGACAUCCGAUG